rnacentral:lncRNA from 1 species
UCGGUACUCAGCCCUUGACUUUGCCGAAGGUGCCGACCCCCAGCGUAUCCCCCAGCACGUAGUGGCCGAUCUUCACCCUCCCGUCGUGCUUCUGCUGCUUCUCGGCCAUCUUCGCCCCCCGGCGGAGGACCACAAUGCGCAGGGCCGGCACGGUACUGCACGACACAGCUCGGGUCGGCACGGCACGGCACGGCACGGCUCGGAUCGGGCGUGCGCAGCGAGGAGCGGCGGGACGGGCCGUGCAGGGUGCACGGGGGCGGGGAAGGGCGCACCCCGGGGCUGGGGGCAGUUUGCGGGGAUGGGGAUGGGGAGGGGGGCGCCUCCACGGGGAGCACCCGCUGUAGGGUGACGGUGGCCCCUGUGUUUGGCACCUGCUUGGGAGUGACACUGCGCGCUUUCGGGGUGGAGCCUCCGAGGAGGGACGCUGCCCUUAGGGUGCACCCUGCAUUGGGGUGGGGACGCUGUCCUUGGGGUGCCCCCGCCUUCUGGGGGGUGGGGUCUGUAUGGGGGUGAAGAAGGUGGCAGCCUCCUGGGAGUGCCAUCUGGCCGUGGGGUGCGCCCUCUUGAUGGUACCCCCAGCUUGGAGUGCUCCUGUCCAGAGGAUGUCACACCUGCCUGGGGGUGCACCCAUUUGAGGAUGCCACACCUGCCUGGGGGGAUGUCUUUCUGUUGGGGCACCUUCCAUGGGCUGAUCCCGUGUUUGGGGUUACACUCAGCUUGGGGUGACACCCUUCUUAUGGUGGCAUUUUGCAUGGGGUGACCCCAAGGAGGGCAAUUGCAUCCAGUUCAUAGGACACAGCCCCACAGCAGGAAUGCUGCUUGGGCUGGGAGGUGGGCAGGUGGAAGGGAGAUGGGACUGUGGGUGCCUCCUUGCUGCCCUUAGCCCUGAGCUGCAGGAGGGGAGAGAUGGAGAUGCUGUGUGUGUGGGUAAGCAGAUGUGUGCAGUUGUUUCGGGGUGAUGGUGGUGCCCUCUGCUAGCAACUGUAGAGAUGUGGUGGUGGCUGAGUGUUUGCACUUGGCAAAACAGCAACAGGAGCCCCAUGGGUCCGUAGCUGUGGUAGUACAAAGAAGCAAAACAGAUUCACAGGGAAGAAAACAUGAAUACAUCAGUAGUGCAGCCAGCUGAAACCAUCUCCACACCCUGGCAGUGCUGUCAGCUGCUGCUUCUCAAGGGCUAACAGCUCAUCCUAACGAUGGAAUUACCCAUUCCUUUGCAUUCCAGCCAUGGGACAGCCCACAGUCUGCUACUGUAAUGUUGUAAAUUAGAUAAUAACACAGCUUUGUUAAGUGGGCUGAUUCUUCUUGCUGUAGUUUCUGUCUCAUUAGAAAUGAAGAGAAAAAAUAAAAGAAAAGAAAACCUGUCCUGAAGGAAACACCCAUUCAGCAGUCCCAGCUCUCUCCUGUAAUGAAAAUUUCCCAUUUUGCUUGUUAAGACAGCUGUAACCCCAAAAGAAAGGCAAUCCACACUCUAAAAUAAUAGAGCUGUUUGAGAAACUGGAAUGGGAAUAUGUGUUUAAACAAUAGCUGUGUGAUAAAAUAAUGACCGGCCUGUGCAGCUGUACUGCCAUAAAUAAUAAAAAAAAGACAAUUUAAUUCAACAAAUCCAUUAAUAUAAAUAAAAUAGCAAUCUCAGGGUAGAAACAAGAAAGUUGCUGUGAUAUAAAACCACGUGUAGUGCAAUGAAACCAUAUCGGCUCCAUCAGAGCAGGAGAUGUGCAUCAAGGCAUAAGAGGAGUUACAAAUAACAAUAUGACUGCCUUAUCUAAAGUGCACUAUCUCCUGGAAAGCUGAUGAAAACCCAGCAGGGUCUGCAGGCAGCUGCAGGCAUGUCCAUCCAUGCAAGCCUCUGCUGAGCAAAAUCUCAGUGGCUCUCUGUGCUCUUUGCACACAAGAGCUCGUGGGGUUUGUUUGAUCUCUGCUUCCAGUCUUGGCAAGCCCUGACUGCCUGAACGAGGCACCACAACAAAUAGGUGAGAGCACGGAUGGUGUUGUUUUGGUGGUGGAGCUCACAUGUUAAACGGGAGCUGCUGGGUGGUGAUGAGCUGCUUUGCCUUCUUGUUUGUUUCCUAAAUGUUGGUGACUAAAUCUCGGAGCAGACUGAUGCACUGUGAGCAUUUAGCCUGUUGAGCACAUUGACACUGGUAAGUAGAAAUAUUGAGUUAAUACCAAUCAAGCUUGUACUCUACAGGAUAUGCUUUCCGGGCUUAACGUUUCCAGGAUCCCACUGCUCAGUGCAGACAUGGCAGCAGGUGGGUGAGCCAGGAGCCCAGCAUGCAGCAGGAACAGAGCCCUGUGCCACAGAUGGAUGCUGAGCACUUUCAAGCUGGCCAUUUAGAGAGUUUGUAACCAGAAAUCAAUCCAGGCAGAAAAAAUGUACAUCUACCUGUUUACAUCAUAAACCACAAACGCGUUUGCAUCCUGCAACAAACACCUGGGCAACAUCCAGAGGAGACAUUCCCAACGUGUUAACUACUGCCAGCGCUGGGAUCCUGUAACCACAGCACAUGGAGAUGAUGGGAACUCAGUUAAAUUAAGGAGAACCACCAAGAUUGUGAAACGUGGCAGCAGGACAAGAGCUGGUUGCAACACAGGCUAGACUUUAGGUCUGUUGGCCAAUCGAACACAUCUGAUGCUGGUGAUUGGGAUGCCAGAGACAGUUCCCUGACUGCUGAUCUACCCUGUGGGUCACUGAGGCACGUUCUUGAGGGCUGAUCCUCCUGGCCUGCACAAAUCUGCAUGUCCAAUUUCCCGAAUGGCAGAAAAUUCUACAUUAAGAUGACAUUUAUCAGCUAAUCUUUUAAAAGAAAUUAACUGGGUAUUUAUGAGGCUUAGACUUAGGGUAUCAUAGAAUCAUUAAGGUUGGAAAAGACCACCAAGACCAGCAAGUCCGACUGUCAACUGAUUCCCCACCAUGCCCACCAACUACAUCCUUCUGUGCCACAAUCUAACUUCUCAGUGGCACCAGGGAGAGCACAACCAAGCUCCUUUUGGAUCCCACUUGUAUCUUGUUCCCUUACUGCAAGGACAGACCCAAGCCCAACCCUGGCAAACAUUUCCUACCAGGGCAGCCACCACUGUGCAGGCUGGGUGAUGAGGCACCAGUGGGUGCAAGGAAACCCUAAAGCCCACAGGGGUCAGGGCUGGCAAUGCCCCACAUCCCUCCAUGCUGCUCAGCCCUUCUGCUGAUGUUCUGCAGGAGAGCAGCAGCUGAUGGUGCUAAAAAUACCCUUGGGCAGGGUAGCAGUGGUUCAGCACUGGGCUUCCCAGAAGAGUGCUGGUAUUUCAGCCUUGUGACUCCAGCUCAGGCCACUUGAUGAACAGCAUGCAACUUUGCUCUGAUUUCCCCAUUUGGUAGGGAACAAUCUCAGUAACGGAUGGAUAAGUCAGCAAACAGCAUAGUUCGCUUUCUUAUUUUAGGUCUCCCAUAGACAUAGAUAUGAAUGACUCUGAAAUAUAGGCAGCACCUGGUCCUUCCCUGCUGUCACAUUGUCCCCUUGAUGGAAAAGCAAAGGAGAUUCCUAUACAAGAUCCCUCUGUAGGUCUGAGGAGGCAGCCGUAAAUGUCCGACCAUAUGCGUGCCAAACAUCCAACCACUCUGCAACCUCACUUUGCCCAUUGCACGUGGGGCAAGAUGGGAGGGAUUCCCCAAAUCUGCAAGCACAUCCCAUAAAAUACCCCGGACACCAGCUGAGAGCACCACCUGUCAGUGGAGUGCUUUGUUCCCAAACCAGGUCCUGCUGGCACAUCCCUCUGACACACUCUACAGAAGAAAAAGUAAAACUAGGAACUUUUUGACUUCUUAUUUUGCAGAAGUGUGACCUUUCGACCUGAAUCACGAUGAGUGGUUAUGAGGAAGAGCUGCUCUCACUUCUAAAUUAUUGCCAUGCAAUGAGCAGGUUUCCAUGGGGUAGCUGAAGGCAUGUCCUGAGGUACAAGGGAUACAAGCAUCCCAUUCUUGCUCUACUUUGCACUAAAGGACUGGUCUUAGAGGAGCUUAUUCUCUAAAAAUGACCUGACUGGCUGAAUAAAACACAAUUUCUGUUUUAAUAUUGUUGUGUUAUGAAACACUGCAAUAGAGGCACAAAUGUGGGCAAGAACAAGUUUUACUGCAGACGCUUUAUCUGCUGAUAGAUUGUCCCAGUGCUGCAUUCCUCAUUCCCUGGGGGUCUGGUCCAGCUCAGAUUGGAAGAUAGUGAAGAUCUUGGGAGAUCUCCAGUAGUGUGGGUCAAAAUUCACUGAUUACAGAAAUGCAAUUGGUUCAGUUGAUCUGCAUAAAGAAAAAAACCACAGCCCAUAGUGGGAAUGUAGAGUAGGAUUGAGAGGAAAAGCUGAGCCCUAAUAGGGAGGCUGGUGCAUGGUGUAUUCAAUAAUUGCAUUUAUGAAUAAACAAUUAAGUAUUACCAAUGAAUCUCUUGCAUUUUAUUGACCCAGGCACAGAAGCUGCUUUUUGGCACUGAUGACUUGCUCAGUUCACGCUUGACAAUGGGGAAUUGUAGUGGCUGUUCCCUUAAGAAAUCAUCCAAGAUUGGGACUUAUUUGUGCGCCAUUGCUUGCAUCAAUUAACAGUACAAUCUUUUUGUUAUGAAAACGCAAACAUUAGUAGCCUGAGGAGCCUUGUAAAUGCAAAUAUAAAACUUUAAUUUCAGUAACCCCCACUUUCCCUUCAAGUACAAUAAAGGCUCUUUUUUUUUUUUUUUUUCAUUUGCUGUUACAACGACGGGUCUUUAUUAUUAUUAUUAUUAUUUUUCCUCUUUCUCUUCACUUUACAUUGAGUUUAACUCAGGGGAUUUCAGUAGGGAUAGUUUUCCAUCAGCAGAUAUGGGGUGGCUGCAGCCGGUGCUGGGAUCUGUGGGCUCCUUGGGGCAGGUCAGUGCCAACCAUAGGGAGGGGAUCAUGGCUGGGCACUGGGGCCAGCCUUGGGCAGGGCAGAAUUCUCACGUGAGGAUUCUUUCCACUCUCUCCAGGCAGCUGGAGAGCCUAAAUUUGGCAUCGUGUUUCUGUUGCGAGAAUGAGAAGGAGAGAGAGACCUUGAAACGUGCCCUUGGCCAUGGCCCCGGUUGGGUGACCAUUGCUGCAGGGAAUGCUUUGGGGUCAAAACUGAUGGUUUUACUGUGAAGUGGUAUGAAAGAGAGAGCUGCCUUCUUGAAAGCAAGGUGGGAGAUGGCACCUGAGUCCGUGAUGAAAGAAUUGGACAAAAACCCAAGGUCUGCUUUCCCCUCUCUUUUUUACACCACGCAUGUACAAGUAAGACAGCCGCUUUGCUUUCUUCCUCCCAUGUUGGCCCAAGUGUGCCUGGGUAUGUUUCUAAACAGAAAACCUGCCCUCAGCAAGGUGCAGUCUGCAGCUCCUCAGGUUCCC